GACGAACGCUGGCGGCGUGCUUAACACAUGCAAGUCGAACGGAAAGGCCCUGCUCUUGUUGGGUUCUCGUGUGGCGCACGGGUGAGUAACACGUGAGUAACCCGCCCUUGACUUUCGGAUAACUUCAGGAAACUGGGGCUAAUACCGGAUAUGAGCUCCUGCUGCAUGGUGGGGGUUGGAAAGUUUCGACGGUUGGGGAUGGACUCGAGGCUUAUCCGCUUGUUGGUGAGGUAGUGGCUUACCAAGGCUUUGACGGGUAGCCCACCUGAGAGGGUGACCGGCGACAAUGGUACUGCGAGACGGCGCAGAAGCCUACGGGACGCAGCAGGCGGGAAUAUGACACAAUGGGCGGAAGCGUGAGACAGCAACGCCGCGUGCGUGAAGACGGCUUACGGGUUGAAAACCGCUUUCGACGGUGACGAAGCGUGAGUGACGGUAAUGGGUAAAGAAGCACCGGCUAACUACGUG
rnacentral:rRNA from 1 species